GACGAACGCUGGCGGCGUGCCUAACACAUGCAAGUCGAACGGGACCGCAAGGUUCAGUGGCGGACGGGUGCGUAACACGUGAGGAACAUAGCCAACGGCGGGGGAUAGCCGGCCCAACGGCCGGGUAAUACCGCGUACGACCUUUGGGGGGCAUCCCCUGGGGGUGAAAGCAGCAAUGCGCCGAUGGGGUGCCUCGCGGCCUAUCAGCUAGUUGGUGAGGUAACGGCUCACCAAGGCUACGACGGGUAGCUGGUCCGAGAGGAUGACCAGCCACAUUGGGACU
rnacentral:rRNA from 1 species